CCUACGGGAGGCUGCAGUGGGGAAUAUUGGACAAUGGGGGGAACCCUGAUCCAGCCAUGCCGCGUGUGUGAAGAAGGCCCUCGGGUUGUAAAGCACUUUCAGUGAGGAAGAACGCCUGGUGGUUAAUACCCAUCAGGAAAGACAUCACUCACAGAAGAAGCACCGGCUAACUCCGUGCCAGCAGCCGCGGUAAUACGGAGGGUGCGAGCGUUAAUCGGAAUUACUGGGCGUAAAGCGCGCGCAGGUGGCUUGAUAAGCCGGUUGUGAAAGCCCCGGGCUCAACCUGGGAACGGCAUCCGGAACUGUCAAGCUAGAGUGCAGGAGAGGAAGGUAGAAUUCCCGAUGUAGCGGUGAAAUGCGUAGAGAUCGGGAGGAAUACCAGUGGCGAAGGCGGCCUUCUGGACUGACACUGACACUGAGGUGUGAAAGCGUGGGUAGCAAACAGGAUUAGAUACCCGUGUAGUC
rnacentral:rRNA from 1 species